CAGUCGCCGCGGUAAAACGGAGGGUGCAAGCGUUAAUCGGAAUUACUGGGCGUAAAGCGCACGUAGGCGGCUUGGUAAGUUAGAGGUGAAAGCCUGGAGCUCAACUCCAGAAUUGCCUUUAAGACUGCCGAGCUAGCAGGUGAGAGAGGUAAGUGGAAUUCCGAGUGUAGAGGCGAAAUUCGUAGAUAUUCGGAAGAACACCAGUGGCGAAGGCGGCUUACUGGCUCAUACUGGACGCUGAGGUGCGAAAGCGUGGGGAGCAAACAGGAUUAGAUACCCGCGUAGUCCCUGUCUCUUAUAC
rnacentral:rRNA from 1 species